AUAAAGAGCACGCGCAUUUUUAGCGGUCCGGAGCUGUAGGAGAAACACAAAUUAACUCAGAGACAGACUGAUGCGACAAAACCAACAUGCCUGAUAAGGACAUGAGGAGGAAACAGUAGGAGCUGUGUGAGGCUACUAAAGGCAGUGGAUCCCUCAGCAGCUGGAUUACAAAGAGCACAGUCUCACAUCAGCACAGCCCUGCACUCCAGCACUAUCAGCAGCAGGAGCAGCAGAAACCCCUCAACAGCAACAAUGUACCCAUCAGCAUGUCUUUAUCCUGUCUUCCUUCUCUCACCCCAACCGGUCGCAGCAGAUGGCCCCGCCCCUCCCUGAGCCUGGUUCUGCUGGAGGUUUCUUCCU